rnacentral:rRNA from 1 species
GACGAACGCUGGCGGCGUGCUUAACACAUGCAAGUCGAACGGUGAAGCGCCUUCCUUUUUGGUGGGUGUGGAUGAGUGGCGAACGGGUGAGUAACACGUGAGUAACCUGCCCCCUUCUUCUGGAUAACCGCAUGAAAGUGUGGCUAAUACGGGAUAUUCUGGUUCUGUCUCAUGAUGGGUCUGGGAAAGAUGUUGUUUCGGUGGGGGAUGGGCUCGCGGCCUAUCAGCUUGUUGGUGGGGUGAUGGCCUACCAAGGCGGGGACGGGUAGCCGGCCUGAGAGGGUGGCCGGUCAGAGUGGGACGGAGACACGGCCGAGACUCAGAGGGGACGCGGAAGUGUGGAAUAUUGAACAAUGGGGGAAAGCCUGAUGCAGCGGCGCGGCUGGAGGGAUGGAGGCUUGUGGGUGGUGAAGCUCUUCCGCUAGUGAAGCGGGUCUGCCUGGGAUGUGGGUGGGUUGACGGUAGCGGGAAAAGAAGCGCCGGCUAACUACGUG